AGCAGCCGCGGUAAUUCCAGCUCCAAUAGCAUAUAUUAAAGUUGUUGCAGUUAAAAAGCUCGUAGUUGAAUUUCGGGAUCAAUAUGUUGGUCGUGCCUUUGGUACGUACUAGCUUAUUGAUUUCUCCCUUCUGACGAACCAUGAUGUCAUUAAUUUGGUGUCAUGGGGAAUCAGGACUGUUACUUUGAAAAAAUUAGAGUGUUUAAAGCAGGCUUACGCUUGAAUACAUUAGCAUGGAAUAAUGAAAUAGGACGUUUUGAUUCUAUUUUGUUGGUUUCUAGGAUCGACGUAAUGAUUAAUAGGGAUAGUUGGGGGCAUUAGUAUUCAAUUGUCAGAGGUGAAAUUCUUGGAUUUAUUGAAGACUAACUACUGCGAAAGCAUUUGCCAAGGAUGUUUUCAUUAAUCAAGAACGAAAGUUAGGGGAUCGAAGACGAUCAGAUACCGUCGUAGUCUUAACCAUAAACUAUGCCGACUAGGGAUCGGAUGAUGUUAAUUUUUAAUGACUCAUUC
rnacentral:rRNA from 1 species